GUGCUCACUUCAGGAGUACAUAUACUAAAACUGGAAUGAUACAGAGAGGAUUAGCAUGGCCCCUGGGCAAGGGUGACAUGCAGAUUUAUGAGCGCUCCAUACUUUU